ensembl:lncRNA
GUCCAUUUUCUCCAAGCCUUAUUUCCUUGUUCAUCUCUGUUCAUACCUAGUUUUGUAUCAUAAUGUGCCUUGGAAUAAUUGGUUACAGUAAUCAAAUUCAACAUAUCACAACAGCUGGAGUGUAGCGUUUCAAUAAACCGCUCGACCAUAUUCCUGUUAAACUUCAAGGUGACAAAUUUAACCAUUACAUCAGUGUUGUUGACAACAAACCACAGAUGCCAUUAGCUUGUUAGUGACUGGAGUGCACACAGCAGGGCCUUCUCUCUUGACCUUCGGAGCAAACCCUCCCUAUCAUAGACUCAAUGGACUCUAAAAAGAUGAAAUUAUUUUCACCACCUGUAGGAUGACCCCAUAUUCUAUGAUAACAGAAAAGAACAUUUGUAUUUUAUUUUUACUCGAAGGCCAGUCGGACAUCACUGCUCGCUGUCCAUGAGUUUACAAACAAAACCCAGAGGCAUAUUAUACACAGUGCCUUGGGAAGUAUUCAGACCCCUUGACCUUUUCCACAUUUUUGUUACGUUACAGCCUUAUUCUAAAAAUGGAUUAAAUAAAUAAAACAUCCUCAGCAAUCUACACACAAUACCCCAUAAUGACAAAGCGAAAACAAGAUUUUUGACAUUUGUAAAAAACAGAAAUUCCUUAUUUACAUAAGUAUUCAGACCCUUUGCUAUGAGACUCGAAAUUGAGCUCCGAUGCAUCCUGUUUCCAUUGGUCAUCCUUUUAGAUGUUUCUACAACUUGAUUAGAGUCCACCUGUGGUAAAUUCAAUUGAAUGGACAUGAUUUGGAAAGGCACACACCUGUCUAUAUAAAGGUCCCACAGAUGACAGGGCAUGUCAGAGCAAAAAACAAGUCAUGUGGUUGAAGGAAUUGUCCGUAGAGCUCAGAGAUAGGAUUGUGUCAAGGCACAGAUUUUGGGAAGGGUACCAAAAAAAUUCUGCGACAUUGAAGAUCCCCAAGAACACAGUGGCCUGCAUCAUUCUUUAAUGGAAGAAGUUUGGAACCACCAAGACCCUUCCUAGAGCUGGCCGCCCGGCCACACAGCAAUCGGGAGAGAAGGGCCUUGGUCAGGGAGGUGAACAACAACCCGAUGGUCACUCUGACAGACUCUAGAGUUCCUGUAGAGUUGGGAGAACCUUCCAGAAGGACAACCAUCUCUGCAGUACUCCACCAAUCAGGCCUUUAUGGUAGAGUGGCCAGAUGGAAGCCACUCCUCAGGAAAAGACACGACAGCCAACUUGGAGUUUGCCAAAAGGCAUCUAAAGACUCUCAGACCAUGAGAAACAAGAUUUCUUUAGUCUGAUGAAACCAAUAUUGAACACUUUGGCCUGAAUGUCAAGCGUCCCGUCUGGUGGAAACCUGGCACCAUCCAUUUGGUGAAGCAUGGUGGUGGCAGCAUCAUGCUGUGGGGAUGUUUUUCAGUGGCAGGGACUGGGAGACUAGUCAGGAUCGAGGCAAAGAUGAACAGAGCAAAGUACAGAGAGAUCCUUGAUGAAAACCUUCUCUAGAGCAUUCAGGACCUCAGACUGGGGCAAAGGUUCACCUUCCAACAGGACAAUCAUCCUAAGCACACAGACAAGACAACGCUUCAGGACAAAUCUCUGAAUGUCCUUGAGUGGCCCAGCCAGAACCUGGACUUGAACCUGACCGAACAUUUCAGGAGAGACCUGAAAAUAGCUGUGCAGCAACGCUUCCAAUCCAACCUGAAAGAGCUUGAAAGGAUCUGCAGAGAAGAAUAGGAAAAACUCCCCAAAUACAGUCGUGCCAAGCUUGUAGCGUCAUACCCAAGAAGACUUGAUGCUUUUUGACCUGAUGCUGCCAAAGGUGCUUCAACAAAGUCCUGAGUAAAGGGUCUGAAUACUUAUGCAAAUUUGAUAUCCAUUUUCAAUUGUUAAUAAAUUAGCAAAAAAAUCCUAAAAACCUGUUUUGCUUUGUGAUUAUGGGGUAUUAUGUGUAGAUUGAUGAGGGAAAAAACUAUUUCAUACAUUUUUUGAAUAAAGCUGUAAAGUAACAAAUUGUGACCAGAGUCAGCACUGUUGACACCAGAUAGGUACUGUAGAUACCAGAUAGUCAGAUAGGCACUGUUGACACCAGAUAGUCACUGUUGACACCAGAUAGUCACUGUUGACACCAUAUAGGUACUGUAGACACCAGAUAGGUACUGUAGACACCAGAUAGGUACUGUAGACACCAGAUAGGUACUGUAGACACCAGAUAGGUACUGUAGACACCAGAUAGUCAGAUAGGUACUGUAGACACCAGAUAGGUACUGUAGACACCAGAUAGUCAGAAAGGUACUAUAGACACCAGAUAGUCAGAUAGGUACUGUAGUCUCACACGCUUGCAGACACUUUCGACGUUGAGGGAUUUUUAUAAUUUACGAUGAGGCUUACUAGUGUAAUAAGCCUUUUGUGAAAUGUUUCAUUUUCAUGGUUUAGGACCAACUAAAAGGGUAAGAACUAGAUCAAAGAAUUGUCUCAACAAUUUCUUAUAUUUAUUUCCCCCUUUUCAUUACAGGCAGAUAAGAGAAUACGACAUGCCACUGAACACAUAAUGAAAAUAGACGAGGAAGUUCAAUUCCCAAUUACUGUCAUACUGUGAGCUGUUGACAAAAAAGGGAAACAGGAAUGAUACAUUAGGAAAUAUAUCAUAUUUAUUCAUUUUUCCUACAUCAUACCCUGACUCACAUACAAUAUACCAGUCACAUGAAGCAAGCACUUAAAUCACCCAUGUGCUCGGGCAGGCUGGAACGCUCAGUGCAUAAAUAUCAUUGGUACACAAAUAAGCCCAGCCAAGGUUUCCCAAACCUAGUCUGAGACCCGGUGUUUAUCAAACCCACAUGAAACUGGUCAGUGGAAAUGGAGUGGUCCUACGACAUCACCUCAAUGAGCACAUCCAGUUCCAGACAAGUCCUUCCCGACAACAAGGUUGGAUUUUCACAAUAUUUACUCCAGCUGGAGUGAAAUGCUGCAUACGCAAUGAGCUUCCCAGACCAGGACCGAAAGAAAACUGUCCCAUCCCCUUCCCAGACCAGGACUGAAAAAAACUGGCCCAUCCCCUUCCCAGACCAGGACUGAAAAAAACUGUCCCAUCCCCUUCCCAGACCAGGACUGAAAAAAACUGUCCCAUCCCCUUCCCAGACCAGGACUGAAAGAAAACUGGUCCAUCCCCUUCCCAGACCAGGACUGAAAGAAAACUGGUCCAUCCCCUUCCCAGACCAGGACUGAAAAAAAACUGUCCCAUCCCCUUCCCAGACCAGGACGGAAAGAAAACUGGUCCAUCCCCUUCCCAGACCAGGACUGAAAGAAAACUGGUCCAUCCCCUUCCCAGACCAGGACGGAAAGAAAACUGGUCCAUCCCCUUCCCAGACCAGGACGGAAAGAAAACUGGUCCAUCCCCUUCCCAGACCAGGACUGAAAGAAAACUGGUCCAUCCCCUUCCCAGACCAGGACGGAAAGAAAACUGGUCCAUCCCCUUCCCAGACCAGGACGGAAAGAAAACUGGUCCAUCCCC